rnacentral:rRNA from 1 species
AUUGAACGCUGGCGGCAUGCUUUACACAUGCAAGUCGAACGGCAGCGCGGGGGCAACCCUGGCGGCGAGUGGCGAACGGGUGAGUAAUGUAUCGGAACGUAUCCUGUAAUGGGGAUAACCAGUCGAAAGAUUGGGUAAUACCGCAUACGCACGAGAGUGGAAAGUAGGGGAUCGCAAGACCUUACGUUAUAGGAGCGGCCGAUAUCUGAUUAGCUAGUUGGUGGGGUAAAGGCCUACCAAGGCGACGAUCAGUAGCUGGUCUGAGAGGAUGAUCAGCCACACUGGGACUGAGACACGGCCCAGACUCCUACGGGAGGCAGCAGUGGGGAAUUUUGGACAAUGGGCGAAAGCCUGAUCCAGCCAUGCCGCGUGCGGGAAGAAGGCCUUCGG